rnacentral:tRNA from 1 species
UCCCUGGUGGCUCAGAUGGUAAAGAAUCUGCCUGCAAUGCAGGAGACCUGGGUUUGAUCCCUGGGCUGGGAA